AUUCGAGCAUUUAAAAAUGUGAGAUCCGUUCUUAGCUCAUGGAUCCACACAGAAACAAGCGAAAGGGUUCUGAGAAAAGUAAACAGGACCCUCUUUCAGUAAUCCUGCGACAAGCUUUAAGUGCUCCUACAUUUCCUAUUGAAAUCAUGAUAUAUUUUGCCUCAAAUUUGAAUCUAAAAAGUCAAUAAAAUGAGACUCUUACCUGUCACGGUUUUAGAAGCUGUGAUAAUCAUCUCACUUUUCAGUUCGCAGUCCUGAUGUGGCUCCUGACUUACGUUGGCGCUCUCUUCAACGGCCUGACCCUGCUGCUCAUGGCUGUGGUUUCAAUGUUUACUCUACCUGUAGUGUAUGUUAAGCACCAGGCACAGGUUGACCAAUAUCUGGGACUUGUGAGGACUCACAUAAAUGCUAUUGUGGCAAAGUAAGUUACACAGUGCAACUUGUAAAAAGGAGAGACUGGCUUAAGCAGGCAUAUAAGUGGAUGAGGUAGGGGUAAUAAAAGGAUAAUAAAAUGAUAGGUUGAUUUAUGAUCAUUCAUUCACUUAUUUGAGUCAUAUUCAUGCUCUUUCCAAUAGUAUUAUUUCAGAAAAUAAGUACAAAUUUUAAAACUCUCAAUUAAACAAAACUUUCAGGUGUUU